rnacentral:rRNA from 1 species
UUAGAAGCAGCCAUCAUUUAAAGAAAGCGUAAUAGCUCACUAGUCGAGUCGGCCUGCGCGGAAGAUGUAACGGGGCUAAAAUAUAGCACCGAAGCUGCGGCAUCAGGCGUAUCACUAAUACGCCUUACGAUUAACAACAUCGAAUGAAGUGAAACGGAAAGAGAUGUUGGUCAAGCAACCCGAACGUUGAGUCGGAAAGUAAUCGAAGAGAGGAUUAUUAGUGAUACGUCUGUUGGGUAGGGGAGCGUUGUGUAA